ensembl:lncRNA
GAGUUUCAGUAGCAGACGUUGCCUUGUUGCCCAAACGGAGGCUUAAUAACUUUAGUCCUUUGAAUGAAUAAGAAUAAAUAAAACGCCUCAGUAAUUACUUUGCCGGAACCCGAUAGGUGUACAUGUUUAUUAGAUACACUUACGUUUGGCCCCGGUUUAUCAACCGGCAUCAUCUUAUUGCAGAUAUGAGUCACAUUUCUUCUUCUUUGUUGCCUGCAAGAAAAAAGGGAAACCAAUAUAUUUUCUUGAAAUUCAUUUCUGCUUUCCCAUCGUUUUAUCUUACCAACAGAUGAGCGUUAGAAUGCAUGCAAAAGGAUGCUAUGCACUGUAAUCUAAUCACUUACCUCCCCAGAUAGCUUGACAUUUUGUAAAAAUGCAAUUUUCUGUUUUUCUCUUCCCCUUCUUGGGAUUUAAAGACAAUAACUGUACAGAGGAGAAGAUAUGAGGAUAACUCAAUAGACAAUAAACUAUAGCUUUAUUUUACAUUUAUCUCCAGAUGGAAGGUGUGUUUGGAAAACUAAAAUCUUCAGGCUUUCAGUUGGGUUGUUUUAAAGAAAAUAAACCAUUUUAUGCUCACGAUACAUCUCAAUAUCGCCUCCCGGUUGUAAACAUAACCUUCUAUUUACUGUUAAAAAAAAGAGGCCCAGGGAAAAACAGAAGAAUGUGUCCGUAUAAACACUUUAACGUGAUUGUUACACUUGAGGGGGAUUUUAAACCAUAUCAAUAAGUUGAACGUUAGCUUGACUUACAGGCAGAGUGAUGGUUUAUGUGUAUUAUGAACUACGUGUCGGGUUUGAGAGACAAAGCAUUGGUUCUCUCUCUCUCUCACAGCUUGGCAACAGAAGGUUUAGAUUCAUGCGCAGAUGAAGGUCGGAAUAAACGCUGUGUACCUGAUUCUGUCCCCUGUGGUCGAGCUUUUGAGUCCUAACCUUGAACUCCCGGGCAUAAAGACUCCUCACCAUCACGGCAUCUGAAGGCUCGAAAUGCAAAGAGGUUGACAUCCUGCUGGAGUUCCCUCCAGCGACACGGUUUGAGCUGAGUGGGCAUCCUGUUGGUUUGGCAGUAGGAGAGCAUCAGUUGUACCAUUUCAAACGUAAUUGCUUGUAAAAUGAAACGAUUUCCUCUCAUAGAGGGAAGAGUUUGUUCUUCACAACAUCCUCCGAUUGAAUAACUUUACUCUGCAACUCCUUUCUGGAUUGGAUGGCCUAAUUUUGAGCAUGAAACAGUCCUCGACUCAACAAAAUGCGAUACAAUCACACAGCCGCAAGCUUGUUUUAAUGAGUCGCUGAACAAAAAUAACUCUUUCUGCUUUGCGUGUGUGUGUGUGUGUGUGUAGAUUUAACAACUGAGAACUAAAAGAUCACCACGCGGUUUAUUUAUCCGUCUCAGCGUCAUCUUAAACCACUCAACCUUAAACCAACAGGCGGCUUACUUGAAUCCUUCACACUCCUUCGGGUAAACUAGGAAGGAAAUCACCUGGUCUGUUAUUCAGCGCCGAGCGAUGCCAAUGACGAGCGCUUCCGUUUCCACUCUGGAUAUCUGUUGCUUUUCAUCAAGUUCCCAAUCACAUUUAUGUCUGAUCAGCUCCCACCGAAGCCCACCCCCCCCUCCCCCCGUUUCCACCGGCAAUUUAUACCGCUGACAGGUUAGUGGAUUGAAUGUGCAAAGCGCACUCGGCAAAGACAUCUAAAGCCAAACUUCUGUUGCAGCUUUAGCGGGCAAAUUGUCCCGUAUUCAGCAGCCAGUUUCAUCUUCUUCAGCAGCGGUUUUACUCAGUGUCUCCGUGGAGAACGGACAAACGUUUUCACAGCAAGAAACACACGAGAGAAAAGAACAAAAUACGGUUUGUUAGCGUUUCCAAGCCGCCGUUUGAUGUCUGCUUUUUAAAAGUUUUUGGUGCAAAAAUGAUUUGACUGUGGAGAUUUUGAGAUAAUUGAAUAACAAGCAGUGGUAAACUGUCAGGAGGAGAAUACUACUCGCGCGUACUCUUUAAAAAGAUAUCUUCGCCAACGUCUUUAACAUUUGUCGUACUUGUCUGAUUAUAAGAACCCGAUUCUAUCAAACAUUCAACAGAUUGUGAGAAAAGAAAAAAUCGUAAAGCAAAGUCAACCACAAACCAUGUUAACAUGGAAGUUAACAUUUAUAUUGAGAAUGUUAUUUUCUAAAAUGAUAACUGUAAUAAACCCGUGUAUCAUCACCACAAGUGCAAUCUUCUGUGCAAUAAUACACUGUAAGUUUAAUGAAAAUGGCUUUUUAAAGACAAAUAGCAACAAAAUGCACGACAUAAGUUCUCAGUCACGUCAGAUUUAAAUGUAACCGUAUGUUUUAAUGCAAUAGUUAUGUGAUGAAAACCUCAACAAUAGCCAGAAAUGCAAUAACAGCCAGAAUAGAACUGUUAUUGAUCUUUUCAGUGUUAUAUUUUUGUCCUUUUUCCUCCGUCCAAAACCAAUGUGUUAUUGUGCUUUGUGCACUCAGCCAAAUCAAUAGUGUAAUGUUUAAGCACAAAGGGUCCCGGACCCCAUUAGAAUCAUUAGCCGUUAAGGUUGUUUUACAUUUAUUUUUCAGCGCACAAAUGCGAUGGCGUUUGCAGACGUUUUAGAAAACCACAGGAGGGGGACGAGAGUCGGCACUGUUGAUCAACUCUUCAUCCGUUGACCAAAUGUUCCGCGUGGCUGCAGCUUUUUCACACCGUGAAUCAGAUACCUUUUAGCCAGGAAGUAAACUCCCACUUCAUCUUAAUUAGUCGGGGAUCAGACGACAGAUUUUUGGUGUCACACGAGAACAUGUGAAAAAGGAGCACGCAUUGCAAGCUGUGAUCCUCCAACACCUGCAAACAAAGCGUUAGCAAAUACUAUGGUCUCGUCAUCACGCACGUACCAGCAGACCACCAUUUCUUAGUGAGGAAGAGGUGAUUACCACCCGUCCAGCACAGAGAGAGAGCUCGCCUUGGAAACCCCCGAAAAACUGGACCAUCUUUGAGACGAAAAAAAACGAGACACAAAGAAAACAGAAAGUCGUGCACGCAGUGUCUCUCCAGAAGGGACGUAAUUGUCCCAUUGUCGAUUAGAGCGUCUGCUGGACAGAAUGUGAAUAUAUCUUUAGUGAUAUUUUGAGCAAGGAAGAGUGGCUUUCAAAGGGGAUUGCGGUUACUAGGCAACAGGCAGCAGAACCAAUUGAGGACCAAAGUGAAGAAAGUUUCUCUCUCUCUCUCUCUUUCAAUCAGGCUGUCUGUCUAUCUCUCUCUCCCCCCCUCACUCAGUUUCUCUCCCUCACACAUGUGCAACUCAGUGCUUUGCCUGCAACCGAAAUCCCCUCUGAAUAGUGUGAAUGCUGCCGCCGAACACACGGACUUAACCCAUUUCUCAUGCUCACGUGGAGGAUUUGUGUCCGAUGGAAACUGAAAGGAGGAGCCUGGAUAGCAAUGAGGUUACAGAAGUCUCGGUGGGAAACCGUGGCGGUUCUGAUAGUUUCCUUUCUCCAUCCCCCUCUAAGAGGCGUUCGGCAUCCUGCAAAAGCAGAAGCACACUUGAGGCGACCUUUCGCCGUGAAAUACAAAAAUACACGGGGAAAGAAAGGUCGGGUAGCAGCAGCCUCGCUCACCCCUGAAACAACACAAGUCUCUAUCGGAAAACAGACUUCCAGCACGUCUUGUUUUUAUCUUUCAGGUUCCUGUCGAAACACUUUCGUUAGCGCACCAAUUAGCCACAGUGAUUGAACACAGCGCGCCGAUAAGAGUCUGCAGUCACUCGCAUCCGGACAUUGUUGUUCUGUGGUCUCACCCGUCAUGGGAGGAUAUGUAAGAAAUCAAAUAAAACCUUGAUAGCGUUGUACAUGCGUGUUGAUGCAUGACACUGACGUGCACGAUGCACGAUGCAGGCGGGAGAGGGAGGGGGGGAGGUGGACACUGAUUGUUUUUUAGAAGGGAGAGAGGCUGAGAAAAUGAAAUGAAACACCCACUUUGCGGAUAUGUCAGGAUAUCUGCUUGGAUUUGCAAUUCAUCUUCUGCUUUUGGACGCCCCCCCCCCCCGGUACACCGGCAGGUAAUGACGCUGGGAGAAUAAACAGGGACUGACUGGCGGGGAUAAACAAUCUCUCCCGGAGCGUCUCCUCCACCAGCUGCUGAGCCGGCAUUCUUCUCUACGCCCUCAUCAUCUACGCAUCCAUGACACGCAACUUUGAUUUUUGUCACAAUUUCUGUUAUCUCUUCUAAAAAUGCUUUUGUUGGGGGCUCCGUUUGACACUUUAGGGAGGAUAUGGAAAUUACGUUUUCAUCAAAGAGGAUAAAGAAUAGACCUUAAUCCAAUUUAAAGCCUUAUCAAAGUGAGGGGUCUCUGUAAAUAGAGAAGAGAGCAAUUGGCUGAGGAACCCACACACACACACACACACACACACACACACACACAAGUACAGAAAAGAGAAAAACAGACUGAAAGAAGUCUCGUCUGAGAAAUACUCUGUUCACAACGGGCAGCAGGUGGUUUUUAAAAUGCAGGAUGCAGGACUCGGAUUGCACGCUGGGGGUCGAGGUUUCACCGGUCACAUUUUGCUGCUGUCGACGGGAAGACGUCCGUCCGUUUGCCAAAAGCUGCAAGGAGUAAUUAUAUUUUUAAUCUCUUUGCCGGUCCAGAAACAUUUAUUCAUUUGCUCGUGUUUGUUAAAGGAGGCACAGCGUCGGGUUCUGUGGGGACACGAAACUUAUAUAAAGGAGACUUCAGUGUUUGGCAGCACCACGGGGAGUCGGCUGGUCUUCAAGAGCCCUAAGCUUCACAAAGAGGCAUCAUGUGCAUCAGGUAAAGGCCGGGUGAAGAUAAAAUGAACGAUGUAUGGACUCAAAGACGACACGGAGAGCUUGUUACAUUUAACUUAAGCCAGAGUCACAAGUUGACGCGACGGUUGACCUUUUUCAGACCCAGUUUGUUUGAUCAUUUUAGUCAAAUAACCUUCUCAAACCAGCAGUCUUCUCCCAGAUAUAAUUUGACUUCACUUCAUCUUAAGAGUAUUUGUCUAGUUGCUCUGUUUCACACGAAUAACCAGAACAAGCAUCAAGCAAACAGCAGAAGAUCUACAUCACACAUUACCAAUAAGCAGCUGCAAUGCAAUGAAUUUAUUCAUUUCACUGAAGUGCCACAUUCAGUGGGUCCACUCAGGUAUCACUGGGCCGUAUUUAACCUGGAACCCAAAGUCUGAUUCAAGCAUUGACGCCAAUGUAGCUGUAUCACUCAUCGAUUCCACAGCAGAAAAUAAAAUUGAACAAAAUAAUAUCAAAAAAUGAAAGAAAAAUAACAUCAGAAAAUGUGGGGCUGCAGAUGUUCCACAGGUGGUUUAGUGGUGGACGUGCACUCCAAUCAGGGGGAACUCAACUUAGGUAGUAAGGAUUAGAGCGGCGUUCUAAAGGGCCCCUCAGCCUCCUCCUGCCUCCCUUUGUGCCUCAACAGAGGAGCCGACUCAACACAUCCGCGCUCACAGGACCAACAUCCCUGUCCGGGCAAGUUGCUGCACGUCUUCCCGUGUUGCGACACACACUGAUGUGAACGCCAGCUGCGCGUGAGAGUCCGGGGGCUGUGCACACAAAUAAUACGUAUCAUCCCCAUUUUGUGUCAUCGCAAUCGUGUCGUUUCGAGGAGGUCCGCGAUGUGCACGGUCACAGCGGAGGCGCUGCUGAGGCUUUGUUUAGUCGGAGGUGGUAAUAAGCAGCACGCGUUUACAAGUGUAUAUUGUUUUUCUUUAACAAUACGGUGUAUUCUAUUUGAAGAUGGAGUGCGGAGCACAGUGAAAGCACUGAUCAAUGCUAUGUGCCUCAUCCCGGGUGGCACUUCACAGGUUGGUUAUACAACAAACUGGCAGCAGGUGUGACCAGUGCUUCAUCUGCAUGCGUGGACAGAACAGAGAGGAGGCCGCAAUGGCUUCAGCCAGCCAGAUAUCAUUUGUCUAACAGGUGGACCGUCCACUUUGGAUCAGCCAGCUGUGCGGUACACAGAUAUAUGUCCAUAAUCUGGGGACGCGUCUCAAAUCAACACAUCAACACGCUGCAACACGGCGGCCUGUAACUCCACAUUUAAAUAGGGCCGAAAAUGAAUUUCAAAAAUUCAAAUUGAAAAACUUAAUCUCAGUGAGACGUUUCAUUCACAUGUAAAUUCAGGUCUCAUUGUUGGCUUUUAAAAUGUCAUUCGUUUGCAAUUUUGAGUCUUAACCUCAAGAAGAAUAUGAUCAUAGCUUAACAAAAAAUCCCUAUUUUGCUAAUAAUUGAGCAUAAGAACCCGUACCCACGUAUUUACAUGUAUAAACCAACAAAUCCCAGGAAACGGAAUGGCUCCUCUCUGCAGUAACAUGGGGAUUUUUCGUUUGAAAUGAAUGGCCUUUCAUCAGAGGGUGACGCAUUGGAUGCAUUACGUGUGAUUGAAGGGUCACGCGCUGCUGCCCGUAGCUUCACAUGCUUCCGGCUAAAGCCAGCAUGAGUUGGCUUUUCCUCAUCAAUGAUUUCAUAGCGGAAAGGAAACUGGGGCAGAGACAAGUCUGUGUUUUCCGCACUGGAAAGACUUUUAGGCAUCUGCUCACUGCAUUGGCUCAACAUGUUCCCAGGCAGGGACACGGUGUGUCAACAGAAUCAGGACCAGAAUCCCACAGCGGCCUUCCAGAAGGAAAAGAUGAUCAAUGCACGACUGAAGUAAAACCGCUUCAUGAGAGGGAAGGGACAACGCGUGGGGGUGAGUGAGCACCAGCUCGUGGUAGUCGCACCUGCUGCAGCGCGCCGAUAUGAUGAAUAUCUGGCUGUCACUGCUGCCCCCCCGAGGGAAUCCGUAUAUCCGUAUAACUCUUCGUUUCCAUCCUGAGUGUCUCAAAGAGUCAACGUCGCGUUGGACCGUCGUCAUCACAUGCUCACCUGCUCUGUGCCACCUCCCCCUUUUCUCUCUUCACGAGAUCAAAUGAGCGCUGGACGUUUUCAAGUUUUUCUUAUAUUGUUUGUGUCGUCUUGGUCAUCGUGGAAUACGGAAAUGCUUUUGCGCUCAAAAAAACGAGAUAUGAAGGAAAAACCAGCAGGAUGCCAAUUCAUAAUACCCUGUUUACUUAUAAAUUCAGAUCAUUCUACAAAUACUCAACGUGAAACCUCCACUGACCCUCAGCUUUCACCACUUCCAUUAAAUCGUUCUUGGAUUUUUCCCAAAAGGCCUCCGGCAAAGCAAUACAGUUGCUUUCAUAUUCAUCUCAACCGGCGACCUCUACCCAGGAGCAGAGAAAAUAUAUAUUGACAUGCGCCUAGUUCACCUCACUGAUUAAAACAGGAAGAGUCCUUGGAAAGUAUUGAAAGUUAAUUUUGCAUGCAGGGCUCCUCAGUAUGUAAGAAUCCUCUGCAUGCUGUAAACUUCAGCCAUCUGGGACUUUAUGCACACUGAAGUAAAUGGUAGGAAUUGUACGCAACUGCAUAUGCACAUGCAAGCACCCUCGUUAAAGAGCGAUUUAGCGUUUUAAUACCUCUGCGUUAAUAUUGUUCGCGUGCCACUGAUUGAAAAGGAGCACGCUUAAAAGUGCUGCCAAACACGUCGGUGUAAUCGAUGCAGCGAAUCCUUGGGGCGUCAGAAACUUGUGAAGCCAGACUCAGACCAUCUGCUUCCUCAACAGUAAAUGUCAAAUGAAUGAAAAAAUAUGCCGAAUGGCACGAGGAGACUGUUUGUCAACAGGCACACGACCAGUGCAGGACGUACCAGCCCGUCUCUGGGACGCAGGUCAGGCGUCCUCUGAAACAAGCCGAGGCUGCGAGAGGACCGAUGGUGGAGGAUGUAAGAACAGGUUUUCUACACACAUGUGUCUUUUAUUGGAUUUUAACUUUUUGGGGAAUUAUUUUAAAUACUUUGUUGCAAUGUUUCUUUUCCCAUCUCUUCGUACUUUGUUUGGUGAAGCUUCUUUCAACUGAGUGAGUAAAGGAGCCCGAACUAGAUAUUGAUUUAUUAAUAUCUAGUUUGGGCUCCUUCAGCGCUGCCCAAACUAGAUAGGAGCGCAAACUAGAUAUUGAUCUAUUGGAACAAAUCAAUAUCUAGUUCGGGCUCCUUUACUCAGUCCAAGCACAAAAUCCAAAAUGUUGCGACACUGUGAUCUUCAAGUCUUUUUUAAGUAUAGCACAAAAUGUCCUUAUAUAACAUAAAUCAUAAUCCAUAAUUGUUUAUUUACUGAGAUUCAUUGUUGAAGUCCCAUGUUUUUCACUUCACAUGUCUCAUAUUUAUAUAACAUAUAUCUGAUAUUUAUCUUGUUCAUCGAGGGGAGGAAACAGUCCUUCAUCGUUGUUUCUUCUCCUCUGUAGCCUCUUAAAUGAAAAGCUGGGGGGAAGUAAUCAGGAGGACUUGGAUGGAAUUGUCUGUCAUCCAUUCAACGCUCUGGACACAGGCGCUGAUUAUAAAAUGAAAGUGAGUAAGAACCGUGACCGACAUGUCCGUGGUCUAUGAACACAUUCCUCAAUCUCUCAAAUAUUGCAUUGGAGGAAUUACUUUGAAAUGGCCUCAGAAUCCUUACAGAACUGUGUUCUGAUCCUCUGCCCGUCAUUAUAGAAAUCCUUAUGGUUUGCACCGAACUAGAGAGGUGUCAAACAGCCACCCAGAGCAGGAUUAGCCGGGUUAACCCAAAAAAAACAUUGGUUUUAACUCAGGAUCAGUGCCAAAUCUGUUUGUUUGAAGGGGGAUGUAUCGCCCUGGUAACCAACCUGCUCGGGAGGAGAUUCAGCUCAAAGGAUUCCACCAAAUGUGUAAACAGCCUGUGAUUGGUUCAGUGUAGCCUGCUUUUGUUGUCUAUAGUGGUUGUUCCCUUUGCAGAGGUCCAAGAUGCUCGAGCAGGGACCGUGAAGGUUUCACUCUGAUCCUGGAAUACUGAUGCUUGUCAUCGACCUGAGCUUAAAAGAGUGAUUUGUGCCACAUGCUACAUGCUAAAGCUGUCUCCCAAAUCGCAUACUCCGUACUACGCAUACUACAUGCUGUAUGCAGCAUGCAUACAAUUGGGAGAUGAUGCUUGACAACAUGGCACGUUGAACUUUAACCCCCUGUGUGUCAGAAUAUAACAUCCUGGUCAUUUUGGGCAUUCUUCACUAGACAUUUUAUGUAUUGGGACUUACUAAAUAUGAUGUUGGUAUAGAUAAAGCAGAACAGGUAGAGAAGUAGAGACAGGUUUUUUCAUUAUGCGUUUUAAUAUACAAACAGGUUGAUCAGACUGGUCUUCAUCAACGGACAGACGACGGAAACCGAGUCUGACUGAGCUGAAGUCUUUUUGUCGUACAGGCACGUGCACAGAGCUUUUACCCAUUUCUCAGUUUGCUACCUUUGUGCUGAAACCCCGAGUGCUCACUCUGAAUGUCAUCUCACAGUUCAGUUCAUCUACACUUACUGAAGGAUGUCAGCUGGCCCUCAUUUAAAAUCUUCUGGCAAUUCUCCUGAAGCAGGGGAGAGGAGGGUAGAUCCGUGCUGUGCUCGAUUAAAGGAGCACUUCCUAUCGAACGCUCUCCCAGAGUACUGCUGAUGACACAUCAGCGGGGUCAAUAGGAGAAGAGUGUCCUCCCCGGGCCAAUCCACUCACUUAAUCAAAAGCUGGGUCCAAGCAACGCUGCACGCUGCGGACCCUGAUGUUGCAACGGUGGACCUUUGACUCUAACUUUUGAGGAGUGAACAUAUUCUUACAUGUUUUUGAGCAUCUCAGAAUGGCGUUUGUGAGCGAAGUAACUUUGAUCAAAUCAUCAUCAUCAUCAUCAUCUUCUUCUCUGUGUGCGACAGUCAGACAUAUUAAACUUCUCUAAAUCUGUUAAUGACCUUUAUCAAAAUAUAAUACAUGACUGGAAUAGCAUCUUUUCCUAAGAAAUAGUAAAUCAUUUUCACAUGAGGUUUCCAUCUUACCAGAGGACACAACGUGUGAAAUGAAACAAAAAAAAGACUUAAAGCAGCCAAACUGGGACAUGACGAAGAGCUUGGAGGGUUUGUAGGUGUUGGCCAGCAUACGUGUCGGUGUGCAGCAGGUGAGUCAGCUAAAGGUUAUGCACAAUAACCUUUUUGACAUCUCUGAGUUUCAGUAUGUUGCAUUUGCAAUAAAGCAAAGCAUCUAACAUGCACCCUGGGAGAUCUGUUAAGGAAUCUCUGGUAGACAGUUAAUAUAAAUGUAAAUUUAUAAAAAGGCAAAUGUUGUUAGUCAAUUGUAAUGAAUAUAAUAGAAUAUUUAUAUUUUUUCUUUCAUGAAUUUGUACUAUUCCUACUGCUCAGUCGAGUCUUUGUUUUAUGAAUACCUGCUAAAAGAUUUAUUAUACUCUGCAAUUCCCGACUGUUCAACAGGGAUCAAUAGUUUCGGACCUGCUGAUGCUGGAUGAAGCUGCCUGGAACAUUUGAAAUUCAAAGCUGGCCGUCGCUUCCAGACACAAAUACGCCACAGCAAGAGUAAGCCGCCCGGAAGCUGUCUGAUGAAAUUAUGAAAAGAAUAUUCAUAGGAGAAAAUGUGUCUACGAUUGUCACCCUGACUAACAAAGAAUAAACGAAACCAAAAACAUGUGAAUAAAAUAUCAGUUGAAGACGCAAACGGACAGAAAGAACAAGAAGCGAGAUGGUAAGGCGACGGCCGUUGUGGGGGAGCUAAUUACUUCUGUGGCUGAUGAUUUCCCAUCAUGGCCGCCUGAGGCCCACCGAGGACAGAAUUGACAACGAUGCGUCAUGUGGCACAUGGCUGAGCUGGUCGCCCUGAGAGCGAGCAGGGAGAGGACCUCUCCAAUGGAAGCCUGUCCCUCAAUUGCAUUGCCAGUGAAGCCGGGACACGGACACGCGUGUGAAUAUCCACCUAUCACACCACAAAAAUGUCUCUUUAAUCUUUAAUUCGCAGCAGGUUUGAAACCACCUGCACAAUGAGCAGCACGUGUCCCGUCCUUUAUGACGAGAGAGAAACCAUCGGGAGACACAUCCUGUCAUUUAAGAUCCACCGCAGCUGUGCAUUUCCAAAUGUAAUAAUGAUCACAUUCAAGCGUCACCUAGGAACAAACCUUUAUGUUGUUUCCAAGCACAUUGUUUUUGUGAUUCCACGGAGGACUCCGGUGUGUCAAAACUGCAUGAAAGGAAUGUAAAAGUGUACCAGUUAUGAGCUAGUAAAGAUUCUUUUAAACAGAAAUCCACGGAGUUUGUCAGCAACACAGAAAGAUUGAAUACAUCAAAUGCAACUAUUGUGCAUUAUCCAUUUCUGUUUCAAUGUCACUGCAGGAAGUAAUGAGACAAUCACAUAUCAAAGUAAAAGCCACAGGUUGAUGAUGGAUGUAUCAGCAGCAUCUCAUGGAGGUGGUCGGAGGCCAGUGUCCAAAAACUACCAACAUCGGAAACAACGUGUAGAUUUCAGCCAAAGUUUAUUUUCCUUAACAAUAAUUACUCUCAAACAUUAACCAGAGAUGGGGGGCGGGGGGAUGAGAUGAGGGG